rnacentral:rRNA from 1 species
UACGUAGGGUGCGGACGUCGAUUGAAUGACUGGGCGUAAAGCGUGCGCAGGCGGUUUUGUAAGACAGGCGUGAAAUCCCCGGGCUCAACCUGGGAAUGGCGCUUGUGACUGCAAAGCUAGAGUGCGGCAGAGGGGGAUGGAAUUCCGCGUGUAGCAGUGAAAUGCGUAGAUAUGCGGAGGAACACCGAUGGCGAAGGCAAUCCCCUGGGCCUGCACUGGACGCUCAUGCACGAAAGCGUGGGAGC